GACUUGUGUGCGCCGGAUGCGGCGAUCUGCGACCAAAAGGUCGUUGCGAUCAGCCCGUCCUGGCGCCGUAAAAUUUGCAACUGAGUCGCCUCUGGUCUUAAUUGGUCGGUGGCGUCUGCUCGGUUGCUCGUUUACUGUGAGAAAAUUGGAGUGUUCAAGGCAGGCGUGGAUUGCAACUGAACAUGUUAGCAUGGAAUAAUAAGAUAGGGCUCCGGCUCAUAUUUUGUUGGUUUCUAGGACUGAAGUAAUGAUUGAUAGGGAUAGUUGGGGGUGCUAGUAUUCAGCGGCCAGAGGUGAAAUUCUCGGAUUCGCUGAAGACUAACUUAUGCGAAAGCAUU
rnacentral:rRNA from 1 species